AACGAACGCUGGCGGCAGGCUUAACACAUGCAAGUCGAGCGCCUUGGCAACAAGGAGCGGCAGACGGGUGAGUAACGCAUGGGAAUCUACCCAUCUCUACGGAAUAACUCAGGGAAACUUGUGCUAAUACCGUAUACGCCCUUAGGGGGAAAGAUUUAUCGGAGAUGGAUGAGCCCGCGUUGGAUUAGCUAGUUGGUGGGGUAAAGGCCUACCAAGGCGACGAUCCAUAGCUGGUCUGAGAGGAUGAUCAGCCACAUUGGGACUGAGACACGGCCCAAACUCCUACGGGAGGCAGCAGUGGGGAAUAUUGGACAAUGGGCGCAAGCCUGAUCCAGCCAUGCCGCGUGAGUGAUGAAGGCCCUAGGGUUGUAAAGCUCUUUCACCGGAGAAGAUAAUGACGGUACCAGCAGAAGAAGCCCCGGCUAACUCCGUGCCAGCCGCCGCGGUAA
rnacentral:rRNA from 1 species